GACGAACGCUGGCGGCGGGCUUAACACAUGCAAGUCGAGCGGAAAGGCCCUGCUUUCGUGGUGUGCUGGAGUGGCACACGGGCACGUAACACGUACGUAAACUGCACUUGACUCUGAGAUAACUUCAAGCAACUGGGGCUCAUCCCGGAAAGGCGCUGCAGCUGCUUGGUGGGGGUUGGAAAGUUUCGGGGGUUGGGGAUUGAGUUGCGGCUUAUCAGCUUGUUGGUGAGGUGGUGGCUUACCAAGGCUUUGACGGGUAGCUGGCCUGAGAGUGUGACCGGCCACAGUGGGACUGAGAUGCGGCCGGGACUCCUGCGGGAGGCAGCAGUAGGGGAUAGUGCACGAUGGGCGGAAGCCUGAUGCAGCAACGCCGCGUGCGGGAUGACAGCCUUCGUGUUGUAGGCCGCUAUCUCCGGUGACGAAGCGUGAUUGACGGUAAUGGGUAAAGAAGCACCGGCUAACUACGUG
rnacentral:rRNA from 1 species